UCUAGUGCCCUCUUCUGACCUGCAA
rnacentral:piRNA from 1 species